rnacentral:misc_RNA from 1 species
CCCUCCCUGCCUCGGUUCCUCCUCUACCGAAGAAGAGGAGAGGACGAGCAAAAUUCCCCCGCGCCCAUUUCUCUGCUCUACACAAACGCACGCACCCAUCCGUCCUUAUUUCUCCUCUUGGUUUUUUUUUCUUGUCAGGUUUAUGUUACAGCGGCCGCCGGUUCCUCUAGCUGGAUAUUUUUUCUUUUGUUUUGUAUCACUAGACCAGAGAAGACGGAUCCGUAUCCGCCCGCCCGCCCGCCCAUCAGGCGGCGACGAUGCCGGUGGUGAAGAAGAUCUGCCCGCCGCCGCCGCCGCCGCUGCACGGCGACCCGGCCAUCUCCGCGGCCGAAGUCCGGGACACGGCGGCGCGGCGCUUGCGCUCCUUCUCCUGCUGGAACUCGUCGCUCACCAUGGCGUGGUACCGGCACUCCAUGCUGCAGAAGGCUUUCUCCCCGCGGUACAUGAAGAUGUCCCUCCCGUCCAGCGCCCGCCGGCACAUGUCGCAGCACGACAGGAACUCCGCGACGCGGAACGCCGCGCCGCCGCCGGGCCGGGCGGGGGCCGGGCCGACGCCGCCGCACAGGCUGGUGGCGCAGCGCCCGCUGCACCCGAGCUCCGACACCUCCAGCCGCGCCGCGCGCCGCGGGAUGGACACCCUCGGCGCGGGCUGCGGCGGGCCCUCGGCCUCGAGCGCCGCCAGGAUCCCGAGCCCCACGCCUCCUCCUACGGCGUCGCGGUGGCGCCACCCACGGGGCGACGCCGACGCGCGGUCCAGCGGGCUCGUCGGCGACGGCAGGCCGUCGGCCUUCCACUGGGGGAUCUCCAGCCUGCGCGCCAUGGUCCUCGCCUUCUCCACCAUGCCUCGCUGCUGGGCGCGGAAUAAGAGGGGAGGAGAGGAGAGGAGGUUGUCGCUGGCUGCUCCUCUCUGGCUUGGUUGUCCAGAGACCAGAGGAA